rnacentral:rRNA from 1 species
UACGUAGGCAGCGAGCGUUGUUCGGAAUUACUGGGCGUAAAGAGUGUGUAGGCGGUGCUCUAAGUUCGGUGUGAAAUCUCCCGGCUUAACUGGGAGGGUGCGCCGGAAACUGGAGUGCUCGAGCGUGGGAGAGGAAAGCGGAAUUCCUGGUGUAGCGGUGAAAUGCGUAGAGAUCCGGAGGAACACCAAAGGCGAAGGCAGUGUCCUGGGGAGUACCUGACGCUCAGGCACGAAAGCGUGGGGAGCAAACAGG